rnacentral:lncRNA from 1 species
GAGGGGUGUUGUGUUGGAGAAUAGAACUCACUUGAUCAGUUAGGAAGACCUUUUUAGGCACAUGUGUCCUAGAUUUUCGCUUUUGUGUACAAAGGUCUUUGAGGAAUUUGGCAUAGGAGGGAACUUGUCUAAUAGCAUCAAGAAGCGGAAGGUUGAUUUUCUGAUGCCGGACCAAGUUUUAAAUGGAAGAAGGAGAAGAGGGGAAGAGAAGGAGGAAGAAGAAGAGAAGAAGGAGAAGGGAGGAGAAGAGAAGAAGAGGAAACGUGGGGGAAAGAAAUCUUUAAUUCUUCAUUAAAACCCUAAUCAACAUAAAGUUCCCUUUAAAUAGGGCCCCAUAAGAACAAUUAAAAUAAACCCCUUACAUAAAAUAAUUCUCCACAAAUAAGCCCUAAAAUGCAAAUAAGCCCAGAAUAAAAUAAACCCCAAAUAAAUUUUAAAACACAAAUAAAUCCAGAAAUAACAAUAAGCAAAUAUGCAAAUAAAAUGGGGACCUAGCUGAUGUCCCCAUCAACUCCUCCCGGGUGAGAAAAACUCGAC